rnacentral:rRNA from 1 species
UACGUAGGGUGCGAGCGUUGUCCGGAAUUAUUGGGCGUAAAGGGCUCGUAGGCGGUUUGUCGCGUCGGGGAGUGAAAAUCCAGGGCUUAACUCUGGACUGGCUUCCGAUACGGGCAGACUAGAGGUAUGCAGGGGAGAACGGAAUUCCUGGUGUAGCGGUGAAAUGCGCAGAUAUCAGGAGGAACACCGGUGGCGAAGGCGGUUCUCUGGGCAUUACCUGACGCUGAGGAGCGAAAGUGUGGGGAGCGAACAGG